rnacentral:lncRNA from 1 species
GCCUUCGCAACGGCCCUUAUGCGCCCCCACAAUCAUUGUAGAAACAGGAGGAGAACCUUGUCCUAACAUGAGCAAAGUCGAAGAUCUGGUUAUUUAGAGAUCGAAUGGGGAGAGAGGCCCUUGCAACAGCCCUUAUACACCCCCACAGCCAUGUUAGGAACAGGAGGAGAACCUCAUCCUAAUAUGAGCAAAGUCGAGGACCCGAUUAUUAAGAAACCAUAUGGGGAGAGAGG